rnacentral:lncRNA from 1 species
CUGAAUUACACUGUGUUUGUUAUAAUUAACUUGAUGUUAAAGUCAUUGAAGCACAAUUGAAGAGAUGCUAAGGUUUAGUAUAUACUAGAGAAGAAAGGUCAAAAGAAGGAUUCUAUUGUAAUAACAUCUGUAAUGUUUAAAAUACUUUGUCAUUCCUUCACCUGAUGGAAAUGAAUGAUAGACAUAUGUUUUCCUUCAUUUUUUAAACAGCCUUUGUCAUCCUCUUCAAUCAAGUAUUAAAGAAACAGUGGAGGCAUAUGAGGCAGCAUUAGGGGUGGCUAUGAGAUGUGAUAUAGUACAGAAGAUAUGGAUGGAUUAUCUUGUCUUUGCAAAUAAUAGAGCUGCUGGAUCCAGAAACAAAGUUCAAGAAUUCAAAUUUUUUACUGAUUUAGUGAAUAGAUGUUUGGUUACAGUCCCUGCCCGAUACCCCAUUCCUUUUAGCAGUGCUGAUUACUGGUCCAACUAUGAAUUUCAUAAUAGGGUUAUUUUCUUUUAUUUGAGCUGUGUUCCAAAGACCCAGCAUUCCAAAACCUUGGAACGGUUUUGUUCA